rnacentral:rRNA from 1 species
GUCUUUUUGAAUUAUUUAAAAAGUCUAACCUGCCCACUGAAUAAUUUUUAAAUGGCCGCAGUAUCCUAACUGUGCAAAGGUAGCAUAAUCAUUAGUCUUUUAAUUGAAGGCUGGUAUGAAUGGUUGGACGAGAUAUUAACUGUUUCAUAAAAAUUUAUAAUAGAAUUUUAUUUUUUAGUCAAAAAGCUAAAAUAAAUUUAAAAGACGAGAAGACCCUAUAAAUCUUUAUAUUUAGGUAAUUAUAAUUUUUUAGAUUCUUUUUAUUAUGAUUAUUAAUAAUAUUUUAUUGGGGUGAUAUUAAAAUUUAAAAAACUUUUAAUUAAUUAAAUCAUUAAUUAAUGAAUAAUUGAUCCGUUAUUAACGAUUAAAAAUUUAAGUUACUUUAGGGAUAACAGCGUAAUUUUUUUGGAGAGUUCAUAUCGAUAAAAAAGAUUGCGACCUCGAUGUUGGAUUAAGAGAUAUAUUUAGGUGUAGCCGCUUAAAUGUUAAGUCUGUUCGACUUUUAAAUUCUUACGUG